CAGGAAGUCCAGGCUCAUGAACGCUGAGGCAUCUGCCAGUACAGCACCAGAGGAGGCAGUAGUGACGUUGGGGGGCAGUUGCAGAAGAAGAUGAGGAGUUCCCCAGCAGGAAGCCACAAACCCGGCAGGAACCUGCAGGGGAAUCGCAGCAUGUGUGGGUGCCCAGGAGGAAAUGCAGCCCCAGUGUCUGAGCAGCGCCUGGCCAUGGAGUGCUGCGGCCCAAGAACAGCGCUAUUCUGCCCUUGCCGAGAUGGCUUUCCAAGGAGGACUUGUCUGUGGGGGUCAAGGAGGUUAUUCGGGUUAUGUGGGCUCGUUGGGGUCUGUCCUCACAAAAAGCAGAGGGCUGGCUCAUCCAAAAGCUUGGUGAUUGCUUGGAAGCCCAAACCCUUCUGGCCUCCAAUGACCCCAUAGGCCCGACUGACCCCAUAGACCUUUUUGACCGAGUGACCACAGUGACCUCACAUGAACCAUAUAACCCCACUGAUCCUCAUGAUCCCAAUGAUCCCACAUGGGCCCAGUGACCCCACAUGACCCCACUGACCCCACCGAUCCCAAAGAUCCUAAUGAUACCCAUGACCCCAUAAGACCCCAACAACCCAUUAACCCUACUGACCCCAGUGACCCCAUUAAGCUCAUAUGACCCUAUUGACCCCACUGACCCCAUUAAUCCCAAUGACUCCAUUGACUCCAAUAACCCCCACUGACCGCAUUAAGCCACUUGACCCCAAUGAACCAAUUGACCCCAAUGACUCCAUUGACUACAAUGACCCCAAUAACACCCUUUGACCCUAAUGACCCCCAUUGCCGCAGGGACCACAUUGACCCUUAUGAUCCGAUUGAAUCCAAUGACCCCAUUCACUUCAAUGACCCUAUUUACUCCAAUGACCCCACUGACACCAAUGACCCCAUUCACUCUAAUAACCCCAUUUAAUUCAAUGACCACAAAGACCCCUAUGGCCCCCACUGACCCCAAUGACCCCCAUUGACCCCAGUGACCCCAUUGACUCCAAUGUCCCCAUAGACCCCAAUGACCCCAUUGUCUCCAAUGACCCCAAUCAGGAUGCAGCCUGGGGGAAACGUCUCCUGCUUCGAAUCAUGCAGCACCUGAGCGAGAGGCUGACCCAGCCUGGCUACACAACAAUCGUGUGUAUUUCUCUGUUCUGAUGCUUCACAGAACCCCAUUGGGUGAGCCUCCUGUUGGUUUCUUCAAAUUUGGUACCAAUCCUGGGGACCAAAACCACAGCCUGAAAGGCUGGAACCAGUCCAAGGGCUUAAAGCCACAAUGCCAGCUGCAGAGGCCAGAAGCAGCCAAGGGCCUGAGGCCACAGACACAGGCGGGGAGCCCAGCACUGGCCCUGGGACUUAAAGCCACAGCCGGAGAGGCUGAAAUCAGCCCUGGGACUCAAAGCCCCAAACAGAGAUGCUGGCACAGGCCCUGGGUUUAGUUUUCUACGGGUUCCCCUGGGACUCCAUUGACCACUCUGAGGCCAUACUGGUCUUGACUGGUUUUUACUGGGCUGCACAACAGUCAUCUUCACUUCUCCAUUAUUCAAAUAACCCCACUGGGUGACCCUGGUGGUGAUUUCCUAAGAUGUGGAUCAGGGAGUCGUCCAUUUCCUUCGCUUAUGAUGAAAGCACGGAAGCGAUGCGGGCACUCGCUGAGGUCACAAUCACUGCUGGGCUGGCAGCGUUUCCGCCACAGCUGGUGAGCAGAGCUGGUGCUCUGGUGAGCGUGCUGCACACCGAGGCUGAGCUCUGGGCCUUCCGUGGAACAGAUCACCCUGUGAGAGCCCGUCAGAAGCACCGCGUGUGCACUCGUCGGUACUCUCUGCAGGGUUCCUGUCCCAAGGGAGAUUUUGGGAUCGAGGCAGUCGGAGGAAGAGGGAAGCCAGCUCUUUGCAAGGGCCGGGGAAGUUCCUGUGCACAGAGGCCUGGGACCUUCAGCUUCCUCUGAGCCUUCAGCGGCCAUGUCUCAGCACGGAGACGACCGCGGUUCCAAUUGCUGCCGUCUGAGUGGCAAGGUAUGGCUGGGCUUCUUCUGCUUGGUUCUUCCUUUCUCUUUUUAUCAUGGGGAAUGGAUGGAGCAGGGGGAGCCCUGCUGGUCCUUGGUGACCUCAGUAACCGGUUGCAUUCAGCGCUCACUGCUGACAGCCUGGGCUAACAACGCGGACGUGGCUCAGGCCGUCUUUUCCCUUAGUGAUAAUCAGUGUCUCAGCACUCUGACAUCCCCUCUCUGGCACCAUCUGGAACCUCUCUGCAAGCCUUGGCUGCCCGUUCCCACCACCGUUUCUUCCUUUCUCUCUUCAGAAGCGGCGCGGUGCGGUUCCCCGCGGUUGGGAGCAGCAGCCAGCAGGCUGCCAGAGAUCCCACCGCGCCUUCCAGCGCACAGAGGGACGCAACAGGGACGGACGGUCCUUCAUGCCAUACAGAAGUGAGUUUCUUCAGCCAUCUGUCGUGAAGUGUGGAGGAAUGAAUUUUGAGUAUUCCUUCUGGGCGGGUGCAGCGCUGCAGGGGAUGUCAAGUGAGCAUCCCUUUGGAGUGCAGGAAGGAGCAGUGAGAAGUGAACUCUCAAUCAGUUUGUGUUUGGGCUGUCCAAGUAGCCUCUUUCUGUUUUCUGGGGGGACGUGGGCAUACUGGGCAGUACUUCUGCUGCCUGCUGGUGUCUGUGAAAUCAACACACCAUCUGUUGUUGUAGGGAUGGAGCCUGCGCGUCCAUGGAGUGGUGCUGGGCAAGGCUGGAAACGCAAAGCCUCCGCAGGUAAGAAGCUCUUGUGAGCUGUGCUGACUGCAGAAGCGGCAUAAUGUUGUAGCAGCAGAAAGGCAAGCUGAAGAAACUGCUCUUGAAGACCAGAAGAUUGUGGUUGGCUGUGCUCAAAUCUUCCGCCAUAGAGAUGCUCUUCAUGUCUGUCUUGUCUCCUUUCUGCCAGAAGCUGAUGCGAGCGGCCUUCCAGCAAAGCGCAGCCUUGCAGAAAGGCAAGGCAGAAGCGCCCAGUGUGGCACAGCACCCAAGAGAGGUACAGACACACAGCAGGCACCUGGGUUUGGUGCACUGUCUCUCUAGUGAGGCUUUCUGUCCGUCCUUUCCUGGGACUGUGGACGUUGUGUGUUUGUUCUGGUCUUAAUCCCUGGCAUGUACAGUUAGCAUUCCUGUGCUGAUUAGAAAUGUGAACCCACAGUUCAGCCGAGAUCCUAUGAUCCAUGACCGUGAGCACUUGAGAUGAGAUGUCCCAGGAUUGUGACCCGUUUUGCAGGCUGAAAGUAGUGUUGGGCUCUCAUUAAAUCUCCUUGUUUUUCCUUUCUUAACAGAGAUUGGUGCUGAGCGAAAUGACAAAAUCUAUGUCAAAGUGGUCCAGCAGGUCCAUACUGAGAGAGCUUCUCAACAGGCAGCAGCUCAAGCUCCUCUCCAGGCUGGAGGUCCUCUUAGAAGAGCAGGUCCCAGCACAGGGGGAAGACCUUCCCCUGCCGUGUGCCCCCGCUCUGUCUCCAGCACCCUGGCUGGAUAUAAACGCAAGGCCUUGGAGGAAGAGAAACCAACAGCAGCUCAGCUGCCUUCCAAUAAGAGAGUGAGGGGGCCGAGUGGAGACUGUGUGCCGGCUCCAGCAGCACACCCUGGGCCUGCUGCAGCGCGGAGCUCCAAGCAAAGAGGUGAGAAGGUGCUGUGGUACCCGCCGUGCUGAGGCGCUUCCCUGUGCGAGCACACUGAGUUUGCUUAGGGUUGGCUUUGCUUUUUCCUUCUCUGUGGAGGGGAAAAGAGUGGAAGG
rnacentral:lncRNA from 1 species